rnacentral:rRNA from 1 species
CAUUGCCNCUUGNAAAGCUUGANUGCGAUCAUGACAGGACUCGAGGACGGCUACUCCGGGCAGCAGCCGCAGUCUACGCACUGCAAGUGUUCUUCGGAAUGACUGGGCGUAAGGCACAUAGCGGUGAAUCGGGUUGAAAGUGAAAGUCGCCAACUGGCGGAAUGCUCUCGACCAAUUCACUUGNGUGAGACANANGAGAGUGNAAUUUCUGUGUAGGGUGAAAUCCAAGGAACACCAAUCAAAGGCAGCUCUCUGUCCCUACCGACGCUGGGGUGCGAAAUGGGGAGCAACGGNUUAAACCCUGGGUCCAUGCCAAACCAUGAGUGUUCCCCCUGGUCUCACGGAUCAUGGGCCCCUAACGCGUGAAACACUCCGCCUGGGGAGUACGGUCGCANGACCAAACUCAAAUNAUGG